rnacentral:rRNA from 1 species
UACGGAGGGGGCUAGCGUUGUUCGGAAUCACUGGGCGUAAAGCGCACGUAGGCGGGUCGUUAAGUCGGGGGUGAAAUCCUGGAGCUCAACUCCAGAACUGCCUUCGAAACUGACGAUCUUGAGUUCGGGAGAGGUGAGUGGAACUGCGAGUGUAGAGGUGAAAUUCGUAGAUAUUCGCAAGAACACCAGUGGCGAAGGCGGCUCACUGGCCCGGUACUGACGCUGAGGAGCGGAAAGCGUGGGGAGCGAACGAGGAUUAGAUACCCGUC